rnacentral:lncRNA from 1 species
AACUUUACAGCCCACAUCAACAAAAAAGGCGCUUUGGGUCAGCUACCUGGCUUCUGCUGCAGGUUCUGUUUAUUGGUUAGUGUUUUUGCUGCUUUGCUUUGAUCAAUGUGGUUCAAAUCAAGUUUGUGACUUUGGGAUGUGGGAGCAAGAAUACAUAUGGAGUUGUUAGACCACUUGUCAUUUUUCCUUUUUUUUUGUCCUUGUAUGAGUUAUCGAUCUUUAGGAUUUGGCGGGUGAACAAUGAUCAGUUGGAUUCAUGAGAGAGUAGUAUCUCCAACUUGAGAGAAUAGUAUCUGAAACUAAGUGAUCUUUAGGAGAAAAAGCUAAAAGUUUUGUGAUAGUAAAUAACUUUAGCUAAGAUGCUGUUGUUUCGUCCAUAUACAUGGAGCAGUUAGUGUUUGAAUUGUUCCUACUCUUCGAUGAACUCUACAAUCUCUUCUAACCAAUAUUUGAGCUGUUAAAUUCAAUUUGCUCAGUAGUGAUUACUGGUUAAAUGCAUGUCAAAAGCAUGUUAUUGGCAUAUUUCAGAUAGUAGCUGAGAUGAUAGUUGAAGAUAAUGGUACCAUAGCAUGUCAGGAUACAUAUAAGAAAUAUUAGCCAACUAUAGAUAAAGCCAUAGAUUGAAAUACAUAAAACCUUUCACAGCAGUACUAAAGUAUGUGUAGGCAUAAUCCUCAGGAAUCAAGCACACUAGAAAGCUCUAUUACAAAGUACUUGAGAUUCCAUGAUGAUGUUUUCCACCAUCUAACCCCAAUCGAUUCCUUUAAUGCCUUUAAGCUGAAAUCCUUGCACAUGUUGGAGGGUUGUGAAUUGUGAGCAACAAGCCAGUUGUUCCUGGACGAAAGAUUGUCUUACUAGCUCCGCGCUGAUGUCCACCUAUGCCACAAUGGAAGUAUGUGUUCAUUGUAACUCAUCUAUGAAAAAUAUUCUGUGUAUUCAAGAUUUCAUCUAGUAGCUUGGUUAUGACAUAGGGACAGAAUUGAAUUAAAUGGUAUGAGUUUUGUACUGACCUGGAACUAGCAUCAGUUGCAAGCCUGAAUUGGUCUAGGAUGUGUGAAUCCUGAUGCGCUGCGCCUGAGGUGAGGUUCCCAUUUAGAUGUUGGCAAUACUGUUUCAAAAGCCUCCACGAGCAAUGCAACCUUUCUCUUGCGAGCUGGUGCAAGUUUGUCCACUGCUCGUCGGAGUGCGAAAUCAAGCAUCCAGUCCUCUGCAUUUUUCCUGUCAUCCAUCAUCUGAUGCUUGAGAUCAACUUUCUCUGCAUCUGGAUCUGGCUCCAGUGGCAGGAAAUUUGGUGGUCGUGGAUUGAAGUCUCUUGACUCCUCUGGCUCCUUAGUGUCAUUGCGCCUGGCUAUGCCUCUCAGGUUUAUGUACCUCUCAGACAUUUCUUCACUCGAAUCAUAUUUUGCAUGUGUCUUCUUAUCUUUGAUUUGGUUCUGCUUUUCCACACAUGCCUCAGCUGUUUGAUCCACUUCAACACCAGCUGCAUUUUCACUUCCAUCUUCAGCUUGAUGGCUUGUACAGUCUUCAGAGGCGUUUUCACUUCCAUCUUCAGCUUGAUGGCUUCCAUCACGCUCGUCCUUGAGAUCUGCCUCUACUACCAACUGUUGAGCAUUAUUGCCAUGACCAUUUUCAUCUCCUUGUUCACAGACAAUCUGUUUUAUUCUGUAUCUUCCAUCUUGACAACAAUGUUUUCAUCCGAACGUUCUUCAUUAUCCUUAUAGGUUUCAUCUUGCACUUCAUUGAGAUAGCAAACAUUGAGCUCUUGAUAGCCUUUAAGUGCAGCAUCAUCAUCUUGAGGAGUUACGCAUUCUUCGUGAGAAGUUGCAGUUUCAUCUUCUAGACAGAAGGUUUCUUCUGCCUUAACAGCAGCCUGAUAAUCCAUUGUUGCUGUCUCACUAUCUGUACCAUCUAGAAUCAAAUUGACAUCUAGAGAGAUAAGUGUAGUGUCCUCAGACACUUCAACAUACUCAUCAAUGUCAAAUUCUGUAUGCGAACAGAUAGAUUCGGAGUCAGCAUAAUCAUAACUUGUUCCAGAGAUGAUACUUUCUUUAUCAAAUGACUCUUCCAGAGUGUUGUCAGAUAGAAGUUCAGGAUUAGAUGAUUUUUCAUUGAACUCCUCGCUGACAACUGGAUCAUCAACCAAUGUGAUGGGAUCUAUAUCAUCUGAGAUUGAACCAGUUUCGUCUUCGCUAAAUGCAUAGUACUUCUCAACAUCCCAGUCCAUAUCAGAAGCUUCAUAUUCCAGCUCUUCUGCUGCUGCUUCUAUCUCUAUUUCAGUAUGCAUACUCAAGGAUUCAAUAUCCACUUCCUCUUGAACCAUGUCAUUAGCACCUUCAUUCGGAUUCUCUGCAGGACAAAAGCCAGAAGUGUUGAUUUCUGCUGAAAUAGCUUUCCUAUUUUGAUCAAGAUUGUCCUCGGUAUCAUCUGCUGCCACUUCACUGCUUUCACCAGAAGGUACAAGAUCAGUGACAGAAGAAUCAAUGAUGUAAUAAUCAUCUACCGAGUUGGUCUCUUCCUUUUCGUUGCUAUAAAUUUCGACAAAAAACUCCUUGUCAUCUUCAUUUGUCAGAGGAGCUACCUUCUCUGUAGUACUCUCUAUUUGUUUUGGCACAUUAUCAUUCAAGCCUAAUCCACUAGGAUUAGCUCGACGAGGAGAGACACAUCCCAACUUGAAACUCCUCUGAUUCUUCAACAUACGCCUUCUUGCUGACAAGAAACACUUCAAUGGAGGCAAAGGAGGGUGAUGAUGACCAUUAAGAGAGCAAUAUGUAUAUGGACAAACCUUGAAAACAGAAGUUCCAUCUGAUUCUGUUCCUCCAGGACUAAGUUCAAGAUAUGAAGGAAACUUAACUUCUUUCAAAGUUGAUGAACAUGUAGCCCUUUCUACUUGGAAAUCAUCAUACAUAACAAUAGGGGAACAUGAUGAAACUCUUGUUGGUUUAAAACUAGGAGUUCUAGCUAAUAAACUCCUUAUUGGUUUAUUAACAGAACUAGCUGAGCCUAACUUUGAGUUACUUGAAUUCUUUCUACUACAACUUUGUGAAUAAGUUUGAAGGCUCCUUGAACUUACCUGAGAUUGCUCUUUCCUUGCAACAGAACUGCUUGUGGACUUCAUAUAAUUUGGAGUACAUAUUGAUUGCUGUUGUUGCUGAUUCUGAUUCUGAUUCUGACGCUGACGCUGACGCUUCGUUGGUGUUGAUGAGUUAGUACUAGUGGGUGGUUUGCCUGGCUGAGGUACAUAUUUUCUGAAAUUUGGUGAGUGGGAGAUUUCAUAUUCUAAGUGUUUGGUUUUGCCUGAUUUCUUCAUCAUCUUUUUCUUGAGUUCAGCUUUUCUAUUCUUGAUGGUUUCAUGGUUUUGUGAUAUAGGAAAAGAUGGUUUGUGGUUCAUUAUUUGGUUGUUGGCUUUAAUAUGAUCAGUUUUGAUACCAAGCUUGUUGAGGACUUUUUUUUGCACCAUCUUAAUUUGGUUUUGGGAAAAGAAAGAUAUAUUCCUUUCAAGGAUUUAUGGAUUUGAGGUAGUGUUUCUUCUUCAUGAGAUAAAGAGAGUUUUAGUUCAUGAAGAAAGGCUGUUUUUGAAAUCUCAACUACCAGAGAUUCCAAAUGGUUUAUUUGCUUUUGGUUUGUAGGCAGCCUUUUUUUUUUUUAUGUUCUUGUCUUGCUUUCUUUUUGUGUGUGUAUGUAGGUGGGGGUGGGGAGUGGGGUAGGGGUCUUCUUGCUUUUUGGUGUUUGAUUUGUCAUGUGGGAAAUUUUUAAUGUUACAACAACGACAUAAUCAGUAUAAUCUCACAAAUGAGAUCUGGUGAGUGUAGAGUGUACGCAGAACUUAUUCAUAUCUCGAGGAGGUAGAAAGUUGGUCAAGUGCAACAAAUCAAAGUAUUUAUGAAAAGAGGGAAUAACAUUUUCAGUGUAAUUCCACAAAUGGGUUUGGUGAGGAUGGAGUGUACAUAAAACUUAUUCAUAUCUCGAGGAGGUAGAAAGUUGGUCAAGUGCAACAAAUCAAAGUAUUUAUGAAAAGAGGGAAUAACAUUUUUAGUGUAAUUCCACAAAUGGGGUAUGGUAAGGAUAGAGUGUACGCAAAACUUAUCCAUAUUUCGAGGAGGUAAAAACAUUGAUUUCGAAAGAUCUUUGGUCAAGUGCAACAAAUCAAAGUAUUUAUGAAAAGAGGGAAUACGACAAUGGAGAAAACAUGUCAAUUAAUAAAAAAAAAUUAAUGAUAAGAUUAAGAUAAGAAUUAGAUGCUGACCUGCACUCGAUUGGGAGGUCAUAGGGCCCUGUGGCCCUUUUGGUUUUUUUAAUUUUUAUGUUCAUUUUGGUUUGCAUUAUUGUGAUAUAUGUGACAAAUCAACAUAUGGCACUGUCUCGUUAAAAUAACUGAUGGAUUAUUUGGUCCAAUACAAAGUAAUCCUAAUUAUGAUUCAAUUUUCACAAUAUUUAAAUCAUAUAUUUUACUUUUGUACUUGGCUCAUCUAAUGUUUUUUUUGAGCCGAGGACACUAGGUAAGGAUAAGGUUUGUGUACAUCCCAUUUAUGGAAUCAUAAUGAGUAUGAUAUUGUUGUUGUUAUGAUCCUGAAAUUAUAAUUUCACCUUCUAUAUGUGAUAGAUAAUCGUAAGAUUUUGAACUUAAAUUUUAUUCUGAUUUAGCUUAUAAUCAUAAUGAAAUACUUAAUAAAUUAAUCUCAAACUUUAUAUAUCAAGGGAUGACAGUUUUUUUAGUAAAACAACUUGGUAUUGUGAUGAGAUUUGUUACUCCUAUCAAUCAAUAGUACUUAUAUAUAUAUAUAUAUAUAGUCUCUCGAUCAUUAUCAAAUCGAUUGCAAUUUUUUUCUAUUCAUGAAGAUCCCACCGAAAUACUAUAUUAUUAUUAUUUUUGAAAAAAUGGCAAUGAUAGGAGCAAUAAUUUUAGUUAAAGAUCAACUUAGUUGGACAAACCAUAAUGGCAUAAACUAUGGGAGCAUAACAUAUGGUUUAACUGAUUAUGUAGAUCUUUAAUAUAUAUACCCAAAGCCAUUAGUUUUCAAGUAAUAAACCUUAUUAAAUUAAUCAUAGUUCUAAUUAAAAAGCUAAAACAUUUAGAUCAACUUUCUAAAAAUAUUAGGGAUGAGGAAUAUUAUCUUCUUUUUGUGCUUUAUUAAAAUAAAGAAAAGUAAAAUAAUGGGAAUGAACAGAAGACAAAUCUUGUAUUCUAGGGUGAUUUAGUUGACCAUUAAAAAAUCAAUGGACUUGUUUAAUUUAUUUUACUUUUCAAAAAAAAAAAAAAAGUUAGUGGAAAUUGCCACAAAUUUGGCAGAAAAAGGAAUUUUGAGUAAAUGGUCGGCAAAUAAAAGUUGGGUUAUAUUUAUAGUACCCCACCAUGAGGUACUGAGGAGGAGCCUCUAAUUUGUACACCAGAUUUUUGCAAACGCUCCUCACUUUUUUUUUUUUUUUUCCUCUUUGCUUUCUCUUUAAGGAAAAAUAAAAAGUAGUGGUUAAAUUUAAAAAACAUCGAGAAGAUCAUUUUGUAAGUUGGGAUAUUUAAUUGAAAUAGAAAAAAGAUGAGUUAAAUGUCAAAACAUUCAUUAAUAAUAACAUAUUUAAUGUAUGUAAAUUUUGUUUUUAUCUUAAAAGAUGAAAGUAGAGAGAUGGUUUUUAAUAGAUCUCGACAGGAUAAAAGAGAUGUUUAUUUUUUUGAUAAUGUUACCAACAAUUAUGUGAAGUAAUCAUUUCUUCUUCUUCUUUUCUUUUUGGUCCCAAACUUUCUGUGCACCGCCCAUGCAUGAAAGUUGUGGAUAUAAAAUGGGAGUCCUCUUCUUCUUUUUUUCCUCCAUAUUUGGAGUUUAUAUUAGAGUCUGUUUAAAUUUGAAUUGUGCAUUGUAGAAUUUAUUUGAGAGUGGCGUUUUCAACAAGAUUUUUUCUAUACCCAAAAUUCAAACAUGAAAUCUAAUUAAGGAACCAAUUAUCUUGUUUCUAUACCCAAAAUUCAAACAUGAAAUCUGAUCAAGGAAGCAAUUAUCUUGUUUCUAUACCCAAAAUACAAACAUGAAAUCUGAUUAAGAAAGCAAUUUCACAACUACACCACGAGUCCACCACUCACGUUAGGAAUCAUUUCCUAUUAGACUAGAAUUGCAUGGGUGCUUUCAUGUCUUGUUUAAUGCACCAUUGAUAGGACUCUUUUAGACCCUGUUUGGAUUGACUUAAAAAAACAGUUUUUAAGUAAAAAAUAAAAAGUCAAAUUAAAAUGAUUUUUAAGUCAAAAAAUAAAAAGGAGGGGGAGACCUACUUUUGAUUUUUGACUUAUUUUAAGUCAUUUUAUAUCUUGCCAAACACUUUUCAACUUAUUUUAAGUCAUUUUUGACUUAUUUUAAAUUAUUUUUUAUAGUUGCCAAACACUUUCAGAAGUAAAAAACUGACUUAAAAGUAGGUUUGACCAACUUUUAAACACCUUCUUAGUCUCGUGGCAUUUUUUUAUUUUAAUUUGUCUUAAAAAGAAUGUCAUCUUACAAUAAUUAAAAAGAAUUUAACUUUAGAAUUUCUAUUUUACCUUUAAUAAAAUGAUUAGCCAUACAAAUAUCUAAGAAUUGUUUUAUAUCAUAAAUUUCAAAAGUUUUUUAUUUUUUUCUUAAAUACUAUAUUAAGUUAAAAAGUGUCACAUAAAAUGGGACCGAGAAAAUAUUAUUCUUCUUUAUCCUACCUUUGUUCCACGAAAAACAGUGGUAGUCUUUCAUCUUUUGCUUUUAAGCUGGUGAUGUUUUGUCGGUUUACGGGUAUUUAUUACGUUUCAUCAAUAAAAUUUAAUUAAACCGCUAAUAAUAUUUAUAAUUUCUUUAUUUUCAUUCUUUUUUCUGCACUAAUUUGAACGAUUUCUUCUUUAAGUUGAUUCUAUUAAAAAUAACUUUUCGAUUAUAAAAUCAGGAUAAGAUCUAUAUAAAAAUUAUUAAGGUUUAAGUAAAAUGUGGUACGUAUAAUUGUUAUUGGUUUUCUUCGAAUGUCUUUCAUCAUAUGAUUAUUUCAUAAGCUAACUAUUUGCGGGCAUCAAAAUUUGAUGAGAUUUUAUAAGAUGAGCUCAAUUUAAAAUUUAAAUUGAGUUUUUAAAAGCAAUUUUAUUCUAAAUCUUUUUUCAUAAUUGGAUAUUUAUAAAAAGCUAAGACAUUAAAUAUUGUCUUUGUUAAAGUUGAUAUCCAUCGUUCCUAGCGAUCAAAUUCAUUGCAAGGGGAUCUAAAUCAUCUUAUAUUCGAGAAACACGUUAUUUAGUUCUCGAAUCACGAAGAAAAAUCUAGGAAGAAUCAAGGGAGAAACAAAAUUACACACACAAAUAUAUAUAUUCAUCAAUAAUACCUCUGCCUCAUCAUAUUUUAAUAUAUAAUUAAAAUUUAUUUUCUAUCACUUUAAAAUUUAUUACGAUACAUAAUUAUUUGCUAAUAUUUGAGAAGUUUCACAAUAGCAAAUGAAUUAGGUGUUCACCCCUUGAUGUUAAGGUUAAUAUUUAACUAAUGAGAGUUCCAACACUAUACUUUCAUCGAGAGGAGACUGCUUGAGCUCUAUUUUACUAAAUACAUGUUACUAUCUCGCAUCAACACAAGUCAUAUAACUCUAAUCAUCAAACUUAGAUAAAUGAGAAAAAAUCAUCUAAAUACAUAUUCUUAUUUCUUUUGGAAUUAGAUACACAUUUGGGUGAAGAUUGAGUAUCACACUCACUUUAUUAACCGCUAAGAUACACACAUGAGUGAAGAUUGAGUAUAUAUAGUUUUCUUAAUCCAAAAAAAAAGUAUAUAGUUAUGUUAUUUUAUGUCUACCAUACUUGACAAAAGCAUAAAUAGUGUUUCAUGUACAUGUAUUUCGAAAAAUAAAGCUUCAUAUUAUUAUAAGGCGAAAUGGUCUGGUGGACCCUUAUACUUGUAUCCGUUUGUAUUCUGAACCCUUCUACUUACACCUUUGUCUUAUGGACCCUUAAACUCAAUUAAAAUGAGACUUUUAAGCCCCUCCAACCAUGUGUGUAGCUCACUCUCCUUUUAUAUAAUUGACAUGUCAUAUCCACGUCAGAUAUAUUAAUGCCACAUCAUAAUUAUUUCAUAACUAUUUUUAAAAAUUAUUAACCAAAAUUAUUUAAUAAUAACAUUUUAAUUUAUUAUUGGCAUUUCUAAUUCUCCAUAUUUCACGAGCAAAAGAAAGCCAUCGCCGGCGUCGUCGCCAUUUUUGCCGGCGAAAUCACAUAUACUUUCUCCCUCACCCGUCUUCAUCUCCGCCGCACACCAUCACUAUUUUUCUUUCCUCCUCCAACCUCCACAGUAACAACAACCUAAGCCACCGCACAAUCAGAUCUGGUCACGGCACAACCAGAUCUGGUCACGGCACAACCAGAUCUGGCCAAACUUUUCGUAAUCCAACACCGACUACUAUUUUCACACCCCAAAUUGCUUACAAAUACAAUUUCACAUCAACCUCUGCCGUGAAACUCGUCGAAAUCUACCCAUUAUUGUUUCUCCCCUUCCCACUGUUUCAUAGCCCAAACCGUCGCCGCCGUCGCCAUUGUUGCUAGCGAAACCACUCAUAUUCCUUCCUUUACCUGCCUUCAUCUCCGCCACACGUCACGACCAUUUUCCUUUCCUUCUCCAACCUCACAAAACCAACAACCUAAGCCACCACACCAGAUCUAGCCGAACACCAUCACCAUUUGUGUCUUCAUCUCCGCCGCACACCAUUACCAUUUUCGCCGCUAUGAUUAGAUCCUCGCAUCCUCACCCACCUCGUUUUCCUCUCCGUUGACCAGCCGCGCCUCUCUCUCACUCCACUGUGUAUCAAUGGUGUCCGGCGAUCACACCACUAGCGCCGCUCUCUCCAUCCGUCGGUGAAUUAGUUGACUCAAGGAGGUCCCCAAGAUAAUCUAAAUAAAUGAAAAUAGAUUGUGGAAAAAAGAAAUAGGGGAUGAAUAUGGCUGAAAAGGAGGUGUAAUGGGUGAAGAAGAAGGAGUUUUUUAAUUAAUGGUUUAAAAAAAUUUAAAAAAUUAUAUUUUUAAUAUUUUUUUAAAGUAAAAAUGCUCCUCACUCGCCUUAAUAGGCGUGUAGUUACACACUUUUGCCAACUCAGACAUCCUAAUGCCACAUAAGCAUGGUCAAUGGUCAGAGGGGUUUGUUGAACUGUGUUUUAUUGAGUUUAAAGGUCCAGAUGACAAAGUUGUAAGUAGAAGGGUUCAGAAUACAAAUUGAUACAAGUAUAAGGGUCCACCAGACCAUUUCGCCUUAUUAUAAUAUUAAAUUGAGAAACUUACCAAAAUGUACGGUUCGACCAAAUUUAUUUACCAAUCAUAUAUAUAUAAAAGAGAACGUUAGGUCCGCCUAUGUGGCGCCACCACAAACCAGAAUUCCCUUUUAAUUUAUUUAUUUCCAAAACUAUCCUUCCCCUUUCAUGAAAAGUUAGUGACUUUUUGCGACUUUAAUGAAAAGUUGUGACUUUAAUGAAGAGUUGCGACUUUUAUGAAAAGUUGCGAUUUUUAUGAAAAGUCGUGACUUUUAUGAAAAAUUGCGACUUUAAUGAAGAGGUGCGACUUUUAUGAAAGGUUGGGACCUUUCUGAAGGGUUGCAACUUUUCCAAAUAGUUGUAACUUUUCCGAUAAUGCACAAUAAACAUUUGUUCACACUACCCUUUGUUGUCUAUAAAUAGAGGGAUUUCUUCUCAUUUUAAAACAACGAAAAUUCUGAACCUCCUCUUCUUCUUCUUCACAAUUAAAUAUUUGUGUGCUUUGAUCCUGUUGAGUGGCUCACUGAUAACAUUACUUAUGUUACAAAUCCUGGUAUGUAUUUUUACAAUCAUUAAUUUAUGCUUAUGUUAUUAAGGAUAAAUGAUAAGAUGUAAUAACUUUCAUUUUCCUUUACAUUAUUAAUGUUUGUUACUACAUAAUCUUGUAUGUAAAAUAAUAUAGUGUUUUAGUUUUAAUGACUGAUAGAUUUUAAGUAUUAUUUUAUAAAUUCCGAGAAAUUAAAUUUCCACACAAAGCGCGGGUAAUUUUACUAGUUUAGUCUAAAUAUACAAAACCUAUUAUACAGUAUAUGUAAAUUAUAGUUAAAUAUACAAAAAUUAUACAUUUGUUAGCUAUUUCGUAAACUAGAUACCUAAAGGUGUUGGAUGGUAAUUAUCCUAUUUGAUCAUGCAUAUGGAGAUUUUACCAAACUCAAUCUCUACAUAAACCCACAAGUUUAUGCACCAACGGGUGUGACCUAGUGGUCAAUGAAGCGGUUGAGAGCCCUGAGGUCUCAGGUUCAAAACUUAGGUACAUGUUGCUAGUAGGAGGUAGUGCGUGAAAGUUGGACCAGACACCACGGUCAUCAACAAAUAAACCCACAACUUUAUUACAAUAUAUACUAGGGAGAAACAUGCAUUUCAGUUGAAAUGUUAUUUGUUGUUUGAGUUUCAAGAUGUUAAAUGCUAUACAAAACCUAUAUACCCUUUCUUAGAGCAAUUAAUAGCACAAUAAAAAUAGGAAAAAGAAGAAAUAUAAUGUAAGGAAUUGCUUGUUGGAUUGCACCUUCUUCUGUUUCAUCCUUGGAAUAGUUUACUUUAUCCCUAAUAAAAGCGUCGAAAUAAUUUUGAUAGCCAGUAUUCAUAGAAGAGAAUGUUGAGCCAGUUACCUUCAUCAUUUCCAUGGCCUACCAUUAACCAAAACAACAUUUGAGUACUCAGUAGUAACAAGAUGACCUGAUUUUGCUCAGCAUAAGUUUACAUAAGUUUCUUCUUAUCCGCAUAAGUUACGUAGUAUCUAAUUCUAGUGUUAUAAUAUAAACCAUUCAACCCCUAGACAUAAGGGAAGAUUGUAGUGUAGUGUGGUAAACAACCAGUGGCGGAUCCAGGAUUUAGAGUCCGUGGGUGCCAAAUAAAAGAAAAGUCAAAGGAGUAAUAAUGUAAUUAAUUUAAUUUAAGUCAAUAACAAUUACAAAAAUAAAGUAAAAUAAUGUGCUAGCUGUUUUUCCUUAAAAAAAGGUGCUUGGAGCCCUUUUUUCCCUUAAAAAACGUCUACAACAAAUUUCUCAAAAAAAUAGGUACAAAUGGGAUUCAAACCCACAACAUCAGCCUUCUAAAGUUGCCCUCUUACCGUGACACCACAAGCCAGUUUUGUUCUCUAGGUGGCACACUUUAUAUUUAUAUAAAUAUUAUAUAUAUAUAUAUAUAUACCUAUGUANNNNNNNNNNNNNNNNNNNNNNNNNNNNNNNNNNNNNNNNNNNNNNNNNNNNNNNNNNNNNNNNNNNNNNNNNNNNNNNNNNNNNNNNNNNNNNNNNNNNNNNNNNNNNNNNNNNNNNNNNNNNNNNNNNNNNNNNNNNNNNNNNNNNNNNNNNNNNNNNNNNNNNNNNNNNNNNNNNNNNNNNNNNNNNNNNNNNNNNNNNNNNNNNNNNNNNNNNNNNNNNNNNNNNNNNNNNNNNNNNNNNNNNNNNNNNNNNNNNNNNNNNNNNNNNNNNNNNNNNNNNNNNNNNNNNNNNNNNNNNNNNNNNNNNNNNNNNNNNNNNNNNNNNNNNNNNNNNNNNNNNNNNNNNNNNNNNNNNNNNNNNNNNNNNNNNNNNNNNNNNNNNNNNNNNNNNNNNNNNNNNNNNNNNNNNNNNNNNNNNNNNNNNNNNNNNNNNNNNNNNNNNNNNNNNNNNNNNNNNNNNNNNNNNNNNNNNNNNNNNNNNNNNNNNNNNNNNNNNNNNNNNNNNNNNNNNNNNNNNNNNNNNNNNNNNNNNNNNNNNNNNNNNNNNNNNNNNNNNNNNNNNNNNNNNNNNNNNNNNNNNNNNNNNNNNNNNNNNNNNNNNNNNNNNNNNNNNNNNNNNNNNNNNNNNNNNNNNNNNNNNNNNNNNNNNNNNNNNNNNNNNNNNNNNNNNNNNNNNNNNNNNNNNNNNNNNNNNNNNNNNNNNNNNNNNNNNNNNNNNNNNNNNNNNNNNNNNNNNNNNNNNNNNNNNNNNNNNNNNNNNNNNNNNNNNNNNNNNNNNNNNNNNNNNNNNNNNNNNNNNNNNNNNNNNNNNNNNNNNNNNNNNNNNNNNNNNNNNNNNNNNNNNNNNNNNNNNNNNNNNNNNNNNNNNNNNNNNNNNNNNNNNNNNNNNNNNNNNNNNNNNNNNNNNNNNNNNNNNNNNNNNNNNNNNNNNNNNNNNNNNNNNNNNNNNNNNNNNNNNNNNNNNNNNNNNNNNNNNNNNNNNNNNNNNNNNNNNNNNNNNNNNNNNNNNNNNNNNNNNNNNNNNNNNNNNNNNNNNNNNNNNNNNNNNNNNNNNNNNNNNNNNNNNNNNNNNNNNNNNNNNNNNNNNNNNNNNNNNNNNNNNNNNNNNNNNNNNNNNNNNNNNNNNNNNNNNNNNNNNNNNNNNNNNNNNNNNNNNNNNNNNNNNNNNNNNNNNNNNNNNNNNNNNNNNNNNNNNNNNNNNNNNNNNNNNNNNNNNNNNNNNNNNNNNNNNNNNNNNNNNNNNNNNNNNNNNNNNNNNNNNNNNNNNNNNNNNNNNNNNNNNNNNNNNNNNNNNNNNNNNNNNNNNNNNNNNNNNNNNNNNNNNNNNNNNNNNNNNNNNNNNNNNNNNNNNNNNNNNNNNNNNNNNNNNNNNNNNNNNNNNNNNNNNNNNNNNNNNNNNNNNNNNNNNNNNNNNNNNNNNNNNNNNNNNNNNNNNNNNNNNNNNNNNNNNNNNNNNNNNNNNNNNNNNNNNNNNNNNNNNNNNNNNNNNNNNNNNNNNNNNNNNNNNNNNNNNNNNNNNNNNNNNNNNNNNNNNNNNNNNNNNNNNNNNNNNNNNNNNNNNNNNNNNNNNNNNNNNNNNNNNNNNNNNNNNNNNNNNNNNNNNNNNNNNNNNNNNNNNNNNNNNNNNNNNNNNNNNNNNNNNNNNNNNNNNNNNNNNNNNNNNNNNNNNNNNNNNNNNNNNNNNNNNNNNNNNNNNNNNNNNNNNNNNNNNNNNNNNNNNNNNNNNNNNNNNNNNNNNNNNNNNNNNNNNNNNNNNNNNNNNNNNNNNNNNNNNNNNNNNNNNNNNNNNNNNNNNNNNNNNNNNNNNNNNNNNNNNNNNNNNNNNNNNNNNNNNNNNNNNNNNNNNNNNNNNNNNNNNNNNNNNNNNNNNNNNNNNNNNNNNNNNNNNNNNNNNNNNNNNNNNNNNNNNNNNNNNNNNNNNNNNNNNNNNNNNNNNNNNNNNNNNNNNNNNNNNNNNNNNNNNNNNNNNNNNNNNNNNNNNNNNNNNNNNNNNNNNNNNNNNNNAAAUGGUCCAACACUUAGAAAAAUUUUUAGGCGGGUGAACAGUAACCAGGCUUACUGGAAUUUGCAUUUCCUUCCGGACAGACUUUACGAAUGGGCAUAACUUCUUCGUCCGAACUCCGAAUGAGGUGAAACGAAGUGCGUUAGGUAGCUAACUCAAAGGGAUUUCCAUGGAUAUGUUAUGGGCCACCCAAUUAUUUGUGUGCUAGGAGAUAUGACCCUCCAAAGUAGACCCUCGAAAAAGGCUUCACUUGGAAAUUUCGGAUUUUGAUACGAUUGCUCUAAAAUUUGGGUUAGACCCAUUUCCCACUCAAUUUGACCCCCUAAACAAGAAUAUGAAGUCGGAUUUUCGAAAAACGAAACGGAUCUUUUUAUAUACAGCUAAACAAGUUUCCGGUAACUUCCGAAACACAUUUUUAAGAACUUUUUGGGUCAAAUUCAAAUAUAAUCAUUUCAUUAAGUUCUCAACUCCAAACUCACAUGUGAGGCUCUAGUUUCACUCUAUCCUUUUCCGAGUCGUUACAUAUACCUAUGUAUAAAUAGAGUUUCCGUCGAAGUUCGGGGGUGGCGUGGCACCCCCACACCCCUUCAUAGAUCCGGCCCUGUAAACAACGGUUGGAAGUUACUUAAGGUCACACGUUCAAAUUCUAGCUAUGAUAGUUUAGCAUUUUUUUUAAUAUCCCCGUGUAUAAAUUCCUAGCUCUGUCAUUUGAAGGUGUGCAAUAUCCAACAAAGCCCUUAAAGAUACCUAAACUUCUAAUCGCCUGUCCAAAAUCAAGUGUGUUAAUAAACUUCAACCUUUCAACAGAUCUUUACACUCUAGGUAGAUGCACAACAUGAGCUACCUGAAUAGCUAAUGAUUACCUGAAAGCUGAACAUAAAUUGUCUUGCUUUCUUGCUAACUCCAGGAUUAGGAUGAGACUGAAGCUUCUCGUACAUUGAACGAGCUUCAUUGGACCUGUCCAUAUAUGGUGUGGAAAUGAAUGAUCAGUUUUAGAAGUAGGCACAAGGUCCAUGCAAGUGCAAGUUCACGCUUAAUGAUUUGAACAUUCAAGCAUCACAAAGAUCAUGACAUGACAGAAGGCUUGUUGCAAAAACGACCAUUCCACGCUGAAGUUCUAGAGAGAUGCAAUUCCCUCUGGACUCUGACAAAUUUGGAUGGGAUAGACACUCAUCUUUUUAUGUAUUUUUCACGAGUGUUGCUUUUGGGCAGGAAAUCAGUCAGUGUUCCUUUUUUUAAAGUAACUACCAGGGAUUGAUAUAUUAGAAAGUUGGUUAAUUGAUGUCUAGAGAUAGAUGCUCGUCACAUAUAAAUUAUGAAAGAGAAAAUAAUUGUUUUCGUCCCUGUGUUGUUGUCUUAUUUUUGUUUUGGUCCCUAUGAUAUCUCGCAAAUCAUACUUAACCUUUAAUUAAUUAAAGUAAGUGAUUUCAGUCCUUCUACUAACAGUGAAUAUCAAUUUAAACAGAUCACUUACUGCUGUCAGGGGUAAUUUUGGUAUUACAACAAGAAACACUUCUAUGCAGGGAAAAAAACCUAAAGCUACAAAAUAUUUAAAACUUCUCCCGUAACAUCCUCUCUUAUACACAAGCUAGCAUAUCCCAGCCCUACUCCCUUCUUCAAUUUGAAUGUGAAUUCAAUCCUCUCAUACACUACUUUGUGUGUUCGUUGGUUGAUGAACAAUUUUUCUCUUUAGUUGCCUCCCAUUUAUAUGAGAAUACAAUCCAGACACUCCUCCUGCAGCACAAAAAACAACUCAGUACACUUCUUGAAGUGAAACAAUAUCAUUCAAUUUCACAAUGAAACUCCAAAGCAAGAAUGGACUACAAUUCACGCCGGCAUGUAAGUACUCAAUUAAUUUAUUUAUAGCCUAAAUCUUUGAUUAUAUGGAAAUCUGAAGAAAAAAAAAGUUGAGUUACAGAACGCAACAACUAAUAUUUCACAUAAAGAAUAAAUAUCCAUUUUUUAAAAAAAGCUAUAAGAAUUAUAAAAAUCAAAUAUUUGUAGUGCAUACUCUAAAUUUGUAUGACAUAUUACAUUUUGUGUUUGUUCCACUUAUUAGAAUACCAUAAGCAUAUUCUUGUUUUUUUUAAAAACAAUAGAUGAAAAUGAAAAUUCAGAAGUGCACACAGUUAAAUGUGAAGUAAUCAUAAACUAUGAUACAGAUAAGUAAACUUUUUUAGGAACUGUAGUUUGCAUAAUUCAAAUUCAAAAUUAAUAUAGAUUUACAUUAUUGGUUACAUAUUUUUGUGUUGGAUUUGUAUCAUUUACAUUUUCUAUUGGAGAUGUUUAUUGUUAUAACACUAAUAGAAUCUACUUUUUCUUUUACACGACAGAUGAAGGUGAAGAUUCAUAUAUGUACACCAUUAAAUUACACUACAAGGGUUGGUGGGUGUUUGAGCCAGUGAUGAACUAUGUUAAUGGACAUAUAGCUUAAUAUGACUAUUGCAAUGGAAAUAAAAAUUCCAUUAUUCAGAUGAGGCAAUGUAUGAAAAAGUUUAAAGUUAAUGAUAAAAAGGUGAAAUUUUGGUUCAAGUUUGGGCCUUAUUUUGAGACGAGUAUAAGACUUUUGACAAUUGAUUUAGAUAUAUAUAACCUUGUCUAUGAAAUAACUGACAGUAGAGUAGUUGAAAUAUUUGUUGAGCACACGGAAGAGGACCAAUGGAACUAUGAUGUAGCUGUUUCUGAGGGCAACCCAUUACAAGGCGGAGAAGAUUUGAUAGAUGUGAAUGUAACAGAGAAAAGUGACGAGAGUGAUGCCACAUGUGAAGAAUGUGAGUCAUUUAAUGACCCUGAUUAUUCCUUGGAAGAAGAUGAUAUGAUUUUUGAUAAAAUCGUUGACUCUACUGUAGAAUGGGUUGGCCUUAAUGGGAGAAACAGAGAAAAUCAAGUUAAAGAAAAAACUAUGGAGGUUGGAGUUGCCUCAAACAUGUUGGCUAUGUUUCCCAAUGACACUCAAGAAAAUGAUUGUGCUACAUCAGAUGAGGAAUUAAUGAGUUUACAUGGAGAUUCUGAUGAUGAAAAUCUUAAAAGAUCCAUUGUUUUUAAUCCAACUAGGGGAUUUUGGAGGAUCCAAAAUUUUAAGUUUACACUUGAUAUGAUUUUCAGCAAUAGCAAAGAAUUCAAGUGGGCAGUUGAGGUACAUGCUGUGUUCCAAAAAAGAGACAUCAAGUUUAAGAAGAACGAAAGUACAAGGUCGAGGGCCAUUUGUAAGGUGUCGAGUUGCAAAUGGUUCAUAUUUGCAUCAAAGUCUAAUCAAGAUGAACCUUUCAAGAUCAAGACAAUAGGCCCUGACCAUUCUUGUGGCAAACAAAGAGAUAACAAGACUAUUGACUCGGGAUUUUUGGCUAAGAAGUACGUAGAAGAAUUUAGAAUAAAUCCAAGUUGGGGAGUAAAAGAAUUCCAAACUCAUGUGAUGAGGACUCAUAAUUGUACUAUUACUCGAACCCAAGCUUAUAUGGCAAAGAGGAAGGCAUUAGAUCUAAUUACAGGAACUAAAGAAGAGCAAUUUGAUAUGUUAUGGGAUUACUGUGCUGAGCUAAGAAGGAGUAAUCCAGGGACUACAUGUAUUUUGAAGCUGGAUGAAAAUCCAAAAACAAUGGUUAAUGGUAGAAAAAGAUUUUUGAGACUUUAUAUAUGUUUUGCAGCUUGCAAACAGGGUUUUUUAGCCGGAUGUCGACCGAUAAUAGGGGUUGAUGUAUGUCAUUUGAAAGGGCACCAAAAGGGGAGUUAACUAUUGACAGCAGUAGGCAUUGAUGGAAACGACAACAUAUAUCCUAUUGCAUUCGCAAUUGUUAGAAGGUGAACUAAGGAACAUGGAAGUGGUUUCUAACGCUUCUUGAUGAGGACCUAGGAAUAUCACAAAACCCUUUUGCAUGGACUUUCAUUUCUGAUAAACAAAAGGGUUUAAUUCCAGCAUUUGAUGAGAUGAUGCCAGAUAUUGCACACAGAUUUUGUGUGAGACAUCUACACAAUAAUUCCAGAUAAACCCUUUUGCAUGGACUUUCAUUUCUGAUAAACAAAAGGGUUUAAUUCCAGCAUUUGAUGAGAAGACAUGUUCUUGUAGAAGAUGGGACUUAACAGGAAUACCUUGUAAUCAUGCUAUUGCAGCUAUAUGGAUUAAGAAGGAUGAGCCUGAAAUAUAUGUUCAUGAAUGUUAUACAGUUGAUCAGUACAUGAAGAGUUACAGUCCAUCCAUCCUGCCAAUUGUCAGCAUUGAGCAAUGGCCUAAGACAGGUAUUGAACCACCAUUGCCACCAAUAUAUAAAGUACAACCAGGGAGACCAAGAAAACUAAGGAAGAGAGGGAUUGACGAGACAACUAAAAAAGAAUCAGAUUCUGGAAAGCUUACCUUGUUAAAAGCAUCAAGAAAAGGCAGAAAAAAGAAGUGUGGAUCAUGUGGAACAUUAGGGCACAAUAGUAGAAAGUGCCCUAUUCUUAUGGGGAGAAUCCACUCUGAAGUUCAACAACAACAAAUUCAUCAAGAAGUCGUAAAGGAAGGCCCUUCUACACCUAAUAAUGCAACAGAAGUAAGUAGUCAAAUAAAUUGGUUCUUUUCAGUUAUUGUUGUCUACUUAAUAAUGCAACAGACAUAAGUAGUCAAACAAGUCCAGGAUAAUGAUACAAUUUUUUUAUUGUAAGGUUCAAGCACCAUUAUUGAGAGUGCGACAUCAAUGCAGUCCAAUUCUUUUAUAGCUGAACGAACUGUAAUUACCUUUCUUGUUAUCUACUAAUGUUGCUUGUAUCCGACUUACUAUCUGACUUAUUUUCUUAUAUAUAUAUUGUAGGUCAAUCAACUUAAUCAACCAAGGGUACCAAAAGAGCAAUUGAGAAGUUCUGCUUUCAUUUUAGAAGAAAUUGGUGAGCAUUCCAGAGAAGUUACAAGACCACUCUUCAUCGAGAGAAUGGGAACACAAUACGUACCAAUAUCAAAAUUACAAGAAGUACUUUCUCAAAGUAGAAAGAGGGUGGGAAGUGAUCCACGGGCCAAGAAAAAAAAUGUUCCUUAAAUAAAGAAGUACAUACACAAGUUUAGAUCUAGUUCUUUCAUUAUGAUUAUGAAAUUAUUCAUGUUCAUGGAUGAUUUUGUUUUCUUUUUGAAACUUUAUGCAACUUAAAAUCUAUGAAAGACGAUAGAAUAAAUUAUUGAAUUCUCAUGAGAAUUUGAAGUUACUAAUUUAAAAUUUAUGCAUCAGCUUUAAGUUCAUAAAAGAUUAGUUUACAUAGUUGCUUUAGUCUAUCAAUUUAAACAUGUAUAUUGUAUUUAAGGAUAGUGUAUCUUAUAAAAUAGUGAAAGGUGUAGCAAGACUAAAAAUGUUAUGUCUAAUUAGCUAAUUUCCUUUAUACAUAUCUCAAUUAACCAUUCAGAAAUUUGAACCAAAUCCUCUUUCCCCGAGUUUGUUUUCUACUUUGAGUUAUUUGUUGCUGAGGCAAUCACCUCAAAUUCAAUUAGCGGAAGUUCAAUUGGAUCUUCUUUCUUUAAUUGCCAACCCCAGAAAUUCUAUUAUCAAAUAUUUGGCAAUAACGAACAAGCUUCUUAGCUUAAAUAUGGUCAAUAAACACAAUUUUCAAAUACUAAAUUCAUUCUACAAAGAUUAUUUCUGUUAGAGAAUAAAAAAUUUAAGCUCUAAUAGAAUGACGAACCUUUAAGGAGAUUGAGAUUCAAAUGUAAAGUUUGCUAUCAUUCUCUAUGGUUGUGAUCAACUAGUGCUUCCAACCAUCAUCUACAUCUACAGUUUUAGGGCAAAGCAACAAAAUUUAGACCAUUUCAAGGCAAAGCAACAUAGACAACAAGGACCCAUAUAGCCGGCUCCAACUUUCUUGAGACUGACACAUGAUUUUGUACAUCAGUCAUUCCACGGGAGAGAGAAAGAGACAUCAUUUUGAGAAAUGGGUUUUACUUUGAAUCUUCACUUUCCCAAAUGAAUGACAUUACUUUGGGAAGUGCAAUCCACUGUGAAAUGGGUUAUUUCACUUGAACUCUAACAAAAAUAUUAUUAUUUUUAUAUAUGAUUAUUGUAAUACCAAAAUUACCCCUGACAGAAGUAAAUAAUCUGUUUAAAUUGAUAUUCACUGUUAGUAGAAGGACUAAAAUCACUUACUUUAAUUAAUUAAAGGUUAAAUAUGAUUAGUGAGAUAUCAUAGGGACCAAAAUCAAAAUAAGUCAAAAACACAGGGACGAAAACAAUUAUUUUCUCAUUAUGAAACCAUAUGUUAAUUGACCCUUCUUGCUUAUCACUACUAGAAAAACAGUAAAAAGAGACCUCAAAAAUAGGUCACAAAUAGAGACCUCAUGAGGUCGUUUUACCCCCUCAAUUUGAUAUUUUUAAAGAAAGAGACUUCAUGAGUUUUGUUAAAUGAAAUUAUAACUAAGGAUAGCGACCUCGUGAGGUUGCUUUUAUUAGUCAAAACCGUCAAACAAAAAAAUUAAAAUACAACCUCACUAGGAGUCUCUAUUUUUAAUAAAAAUACAAACCCAACUCUCAUUUGUGAACAGUCAUCCAACCCCACCCUCACUCUCAACCCCAAUUCUCACAACCAGCAGUCCCACCCCCGCAGUGCCCCUCAAAUCUGUCCAGGUAAUUAUUUUUUUUACAUAUUCUUUAUACAUUCUUCAAAGCCGUGAGCUUUAUGUGAUUUGUGUUCUUUUUAGGAUUUGGGUGAGUUUUGAAAGUUGUCCAUUAUGCUUAAUUUCAUUCUUUGUUGUUGAAAUUGGGAAGUGAAAAAACUAUAUAAUAUCAGGAAUGAAGAAAGAUAAGAGACCAACUUAUCUUCCUCAUUUUGUCACUUAUUUGAUUGAGAAAUUCGUACUUAGUUUCCCUGAAAAGAGAUUCCAAUUUCCAAGAAUAAAAAAUUAAACCUAACAAGAUUUGCAUACAGGUCAUUCUCAAUAUUUAUUUUUUCUUUGAUGUCAAAUGGAGAAGAAAGAAGGAAACAAAUUUCACUCAUUCCAAAUUUAGAUACCUUCAAUUCCUCAUAUCUGUUGUUUUUUUCAGUUUGUUAUGCUUUAUAUUUUCCCUUCUUACUACCCAUAAAUUUUAUAACAAUCAUAUUCCUUUUAACAUGAGUGUUGAUGAGAGGAGCAUAAGGUGUUUGUUUGUAUAUUUCUAUGGCUGGGGAUAGAAAAAAAUGAGAGAGUGGUCUGGUUUAGUCAAGGAGAAAGUGUUGAGAUUAGUUAGUGACAUUGAAUGUCUUCUAAUGAAGGAAACCACUGCAAGGCGGUGGACGAAGGUGCAAGGAGGAAGAUUUGGCUGGUGUAGUAAUUGUGAAUGUUUUCUCUGUUAAGUUUAAUAGAUUUUUAAGAAAGAACUAUUAGUUUCAAUGUUUGGGACUAAAAGAUCUACUUUUUACAUACAUCAAGGACUAUUAGCUUUACUUGAUCUUGAAAUUUAACUCAACUUUAUACUAUAUUGGACCUUGAAUUAAAUUAAAAAAUAUUUGAACUUUGAACUAGGGACUGAACUUCGAAUUUACAAUUCAACUUUGAACUUAAAAUUGAAAAAAGAAAACUCUGACUCGAAGCAAAUUAUUCUUUAAAAAAAUUUCUUUAAAAGAGCUUCAAGAUUAAGUAGAAUAAGGUUACAAUUCGAUUUCUAAGAUAAUGAAAACACCAAGUAUUUAUAUGUAGGUUAUUAGUUGCAUUAAGUCAUAAGUUGAGUUAGGCAUAGCUCGAGUGGCAAAAGGUGGAGAAUUUGUGGCUUAGGUUGCAGGUUCAAGCCCCACACCAUGCAAAGCAAAGCCCGGUAUUUAAGUGGAGAAGGGUAGAGGGGCGGGCCCAUUAUCCACCGAGUUUAGAAGGCUGUGAUUGGUCCAAAGGGCGGGUCACAGACGGGGAUUUCUCAGUUAUCAAAAAAAAAAGUGAGUAUUAAAUUUGAAACUCAAUAAUAUUAAAAAAUGUUGAAUUAUUACUUAAUUUAGUGUUUAACAAAUUCAAAUUUUGUGAUCUUUAUGUAGAUGGAUCGUAGUUGGAUGUAUGAAAGGACUAAUUUUGGUCAAGUGGGGAUGAAGCCUGAAUUUGUAGAAGGUGUUGAUGGUUUUGUGGACUAUGCAAUGACACUAGAACCUUUUCAACUUAGUAGCUUGGUGAAGUGUCCUUGUAAGAAAUGUCAAUGUAUGAAUUAUGAAAAACCAGAGAUUGUUAAGUUUCAUCUUUAUCGAAAUGGGUUUAAAGAAGACUAUACAGUGUGGACUAGUCAUGGAGAAAUUGACAAUAGUUUUGAUAGAUUUCAACACCAUGUUGUUGGUGAAAGUAGUAAGGCAGUGAAACCUAAUGUCCAAAAUUAUAGAAUGCACUACAUGGUUCGGGAUGCGCAUAAGCUGCAUCCUGAUUUUGAAUUUCGCGACCACGUUGAAGAAGCUCCCAAUGAUGAAUCUAGAAUUUUCUUUGAACAAUUGAAAGUUGCUAGUCGGCCUUUAUAUGAGGGGAGUCCACACUGGGAGACCGACGCGAGGUUCAAGCAGAUAAACGAGGUUGCCAAGAUGGUCAGAGCAACUACUAAGGGUGGCUCUCUACACACAAUUGGGGUUCAGAGCCAAGGGAAUGUGAAGAGGAAAUUGGUACGUUCAUUUCUUAAGUUAUAUAUAUUGUAGGUUAUUAAUAUUUAAUUAUUCUUGAUUAAUAACUAAAUUAAUUUCGUUCGUAGGAAAAUAAACUGGGGAGACCGGUAACUCAGGCAAAGGCAUUCAAGACUACACACACAAGGAAGAAGAAAACCCCCGGAGAUCCAGACGUUUGGGUUCCUCAACUGACCUACGUAAGCCAAUAAUUUAAAGUAAUAAUUACUUUACUUCCUAAAUUUAUAUUCUAAUAUUAUUACUGUUAUAUUCAUAAUCAAUACAUGCAAUCCGUUGAGGAUUACCAUCAAAUUCAACUAGAUGAUAGCCGAGGCAUGCCAUUGAGCCAAGAGCAGACUGAGAGAAUGUGGCUAGACUCGGUUGGUGGGCCGAGUUGGUAUGGGUAUUCUUACGACCCCUUUCGUGAAUUUUAUUCGGAGCUAGAAGGCCUAGGUAGUUUCCAGGAUGAUUGGUCAAGGGAGAAGAUUUUGGAACAGAAGAUAGCUAAGCUAUGUAGCCAAGUCGAAGUCUCGCGGGCUAGGGAAAGGCAGAGGGACAUAGAGCAUGAAGGGAUUAAGGCCCAAUUAGAUGCACUACUUGCUUUGGUUGCUUCGGGGUGGAUUCCCCCUUGUCCCAGUGAUGUAGUUUGCCCUCCUCGUCUUUCCCAGUAUCAACCUAUUCAACAUCAAGUAUAUGGUCAAUACAGAGGUUUGACCGAUGAGCCCAGCAAUGAUGAGGAUGAUGAGGAUCAUGUGGCAAACAUACCACCUCAUUAUUGAAGUUUAGAGUUGUAUUAGAUAAUCUAAACUAAGUACUUUAUGGUGAUUUUAAGACUUAUUAUGUGUUUUGUGGAUGCAUGAGAACAUUGAAGUAGUUUGAAAUCCAAUUGUACAGCUUAUGACUUCUAUGCUUUUUCCAUUCAAUUUCGAAGUACUUUAAAGUUGAUUUUCAAGUAGUGUUGAUUGGAGGAUAUUUAGCACAUGUAUUUGUUGUAGUUUGAUUGAUUGUUGGCAGCUCUUUGAGCUUGAUUUAGCUAAUUAGAAUGUACAUAUUAUUGAAUUGAAUUUAAAUGGAUGGUGUGCAGCUGCUAAAGCAAAAAUCUGCUACCAGUUUUUUUUCUUCAGAAAAGUGACCUCAUGAGGUCUCUUUUCUGCAAUUAAAUUUUUCAUAAAUGCAGUAAAGAGACUUCAUGAGGUCUCUUUUCUGCAAUUUCAUUUCCCAGAAAAAUGUGUAAAGGCGAUUAACAAUUCGUUUCUUUCUUUAUUGGUGAGUUUUUGCUGUGCCCUUUCAAGAAGGACCAAACACAUUGAGGUAACGAGAUCUUUAUGUCCAUACAACUUAUGAGUUAAGUUUUUGAUCUUGUUAGAAAGACAUAAUCAUUCCAUACUAAUCUAACUUAACACCCUAAAUUUUUGUUCCAUUUUAUUUUAUAGUAGUCAGAAUGAGUAGAAAAUGGCUCAGUAAGGAAUAUGGGCAUGGCCACAUUAGGUGAUUAACAUAUUAGGAAUCACUCUGUUAUUGCCCUUUUUUCUAAUAACCAUGGUGUCCGGGUCACUUGAGCGCACCUCUAUGUUAUUUCCCUAAAAAAAGCAUAUGAAUAGAACAUAAAAAUCAUUAAGAACACCAAGAAUAUUACGUUAGAAAAAUGGUGAAUUUAUCACUUGAAUCCACAGGUUUGUAGGGGUCCAGUAUUCUAAGCUGGCCUCUCUUUUAUCAAUUAGUUUAACAAGAUGCUCAGUGAAAUUCUCUCUUUCCUUUUUAAUUUCUCUUGGGUGAGUAGGAAUUCUUAAGCAUAAAUGCUUCAACUACUCUUAUUAGAGCAGAGGGCAGACAUUUUUAAGAAGUUGUUUAAAACCUAGGACAUUAGAGAAUCACAGAUGACAUACCUACGAAGCGAGUCUUGACAAAUAGACCACUGCAGUGCAGCUAAUCCAUGAAGUUGAGUCUGCACAAAUAUUAUGCCAUAGAUUUCAAUGUCAAAUGUACUGAAAACGAGAAGUGUCAAUUGCCUUAGGUUUUCUUUUAUUACUUUACACUUUUGUUUAGAACGGGAUAACACAAAGUUAAGAAGUAUAAAAGUAAGACAAAUGUAAUCUAGUCUCUCAUGAACCACGACAUUCAUUUUGUAAGAAAGUAAAUCUUAAGUUUUUACAUCAUAUGAAAGAGAAGCAAAAACGUAUAAGUAACAACUUCAGUCCUUGUUACUUAUGUGUAAAGCACAUCAAUUUGUUCAAGGCCUCUUUUAUCAUAAUAAUAUUAACAUAUGCAAUCCUUAUCCCCAAAAGAUAUUUGAGCGUGAAGUUGGAUCUUUUCCUUCUUUUUUGGUGGAAUGAUGCGGGUCAUUUGCAACAGAGUGCUGAGCAAGUUAGCACCUUUACUCAAAUAACAUACAAUGAAGUUGGAUAAAAUGCAUCUAAACAAUUCUUUCUUUUUUCUGGUUUAAGAUGUGAAAAGGGGGAAAAAAAAAAGAUACAUGCAUUAAUGUUAAGUGUUGAAGUCCAUCUAGUACAAGAAAUCACCUGAAACGGCAACUUAUUCAUAACUUUCUCAUAAAAUGGUAGUGCUUCCUUGAGCUUGCCAAGGUCCAUGAAAGAGUCACCAUCCUUCAAUGCCUAAGUAUGACAGCACUAAAAUUAAGAAGUAAGUCAUACCUCAUGAUUCUCAAACAAGAAAGGAUAUAAACCCACAUUAAGAAUGGCUUAAUAAUUGAAACACUCUUCCCUUUCAAAGGACUCCUUCAAAAUAUGUCAAUUAUCUUAUCUAAAUCAACCAUAAACAUAAGUAUCUGAACUAGAUUAAUUCCAAUGUACCUUGCUUAUAAACUUUGGUGGAGGCAUAGGAGUAACCCCCUUCGUUGGAAAAAUAUACAUACAUAGGGCCUAAAAUGAUUAAUUUAUUUUUUGCAUAUAUAUAAGUUGAAUCUCCUUGGCAUGAGAUUUUUAAAAAAAAUCCCCUUGUUUGAGUUCCUGGCUCCACCACUGCUUGUAUGGAUGGAAAUUUACAGGAAAUCUAUUUCUAAAAAGGUAUGCUUCAAUCAAUUUCAACCAUGUUGAUAAGUCGUUAGUUUAUUUUACAACUUGUGAAUUCAAGAAAAACACCCACAUCUAGCCUCUUAAAUGUAUUAUUCGAUUUAGUUUGCAUUCAAAGUCUUGGAAUAUGAAUUUAUGUGCUUUCAGGUCCAUUCACCUGACUUUCUUGAAGUUUACGGAUUCUCCCCUAGUAUUCCAUACUCUCCCCCUCUCGGCCUUGAUUUCAGUCCUGGAAACACAAAUGAGAAUGCAAGACCGGGCGCCUUAUAGAGGACUUUUUGGACUUCGCAGUUCUGGAGGAUAACUAAUUCAGACCAAUAUCACUCUACUUUCUUCACAUGUACAUUUCCAAGCCUUUUGAGUCUUUCUAACCAUAGUUUUGCUGGUAAUGUCAUGCCUCUUUUGUAAAAUCACUGUUACAUGCACCUGCCGUGCAUAUCGUAGCAGCUCUGCAUGAACAUGCAAUGUUGGCACCCUUAAUGCUAAAAGUUCAUUCAAAACCACCCCCGAUAUGUGAACACAGAUGUCACUUGUAGGAAUUUCAGAGGUAAAGCAUACUUCAUAGGAUUAAAGUAACAAUUGGCCACAUCUAGCAUUUAGCUCUUGUACUUCUGGUUUAUUUCCAAGUUUACUAUAAUCUACAAUGGCUGAGUGUGCAAAUAUAUUUAAUUAACCACUGGAAAGUGAAGAUCCACAAGAUUAUCCAAUCGAAGAAAAAGUUACAUAGCUCGGAAGGUGCACUUAAGUUUUAAUGAGCUCUGAAUGCCAAUAUCCCUGAAGAUCUCUAGCUUCAUGUCCGAUGGUAGUGUGAAUUUAUCCCACUCAUUAAGGGCCAUGGCCAUGAUAUAAUUUCUAGUCUUGAAACCUUUAACUUCAUUCCAUCUGAAUGGAUUUGUGAGAAAAAAGAGCACAUCAGUUCAAAGCCUCCGAAGACUCUAAAUUCUUUGCUCAUUCAUUUAAGUGACUGACUACGCGACCAGAUCUCUUUAUUUCAAAAUGAAACUCUGCUAUAUGUGUAUUCAAAGUAGAAAUGAUUGACAGAAACAUUUAAUUCCACUAUAUGAAGAAACAAGUUUUGGUGUUACCGAUCAAAUCGCUAACAGCAUGGCAAUUCAUAGAACUGGGAUGGCAUAUAACAACUUUAUAUCUAUGCUGAGAAGUGUAAAGUUAUAAAUAAAUUAUCAGAUUUCUGUAUUGUUUCUCAAGAUCAAUAUAAGAAGGGAAUUAAAUGCAUUUUCCAUAAUGAAAGAAAUUUGAUGCAUCCAUAAACAUGAUAUAAAAAACAAUAGCAGUUAAAGCAUACCUUCUCACAUUCAAGUUUUAGGUUUGGAUCAAUAGUUAGGCCUACUCUGCUCUUGUAGGUAGCAAGUAGCUCUCUCGUACGUGCUUCUUUAGCUGCCUUCUCUUCUGCAGAUUCAAGUACCUCUCCUGGACGUAUAGUUCUUCCACCGCCAAACUGAUCUCCGAACAAGCAAUAAGUUUAUUCAUAGUGUUUUGCUUAAAUGACUAUAUUCAUUAGUUUAAGAGAUCAUGGUAUUCGCAAACUAAAGUUUGAUAAACAGAGACUAAGCCCAACAUAAUAACAAGAAAUAAUAAUCAUAUGCCUAAUACUCUCUCCCAUCUUCUACAGAUCUUCACUGUGCUAUCUAACACGAGUAUCAGUAUGUUGCACCAUCUAAGAUCAAAUUACCUAAUCUUCAUUAUGUAGUUGACAUGCCUUCUCUUAAUGAGUUUUGUCUUUGCUGAUAUCUAAUAGUUCAAAAGACUUCUUCCUGCUAGAAAAAUGUCUUUUUUCACUAAUUUUGACUGAUCCAGGUGGAUAGAUUAUAUAUAAUCUAUGUAGCUGAUUCAAUCUAUUUCAUGAAAUUGUCUUGCCGGAUUUUUUAUUUUUAUUUUUUUACUGUGGGAUGACUUACUAGGACAUAAUAUGUACUCUUGAACCAAAGAAGUCCAACCACUGUGUUAUGAGUGAAGGUUUUAGCAUUAUUGGUACAACUGAUCGUUUGUUGAUUGUGUGAAAACAGCUCAAGAUGCAUUUGACCUUCGCUUUCUUUGUUCUGAUUUUGUAUUACAAACUUUAUCAGGAUGUCUUUUUAAAGUGAAAAAAAAAAUGAACCUCAGCAGAAGUGCAGAACGUCUUUGUUAAAGUAGACGAAAAUGAAUGUCAUAAGGUAAGGGGUGGGGUUCCAGGAUGAGUAAUGCGGAAAGCUCUCAAGUUUUGCCUUGAAAAUUAGUACCUACAAAUCUCUUGAACACCCAAAAAGAAGAAAAAUAUGAUUUGUGAUGCUAUGAAGUCUUUUAUUUGUGAUACUUGGAAGACUACUUAAUUUCCAAUAUGUUUUAUUAGUUCAACUCUAAUAAAGAUGCAUGAACUGAACUGUGCUAAAAGUAUGCAUCCUAUUGCCACCAUCUAUUUCACUUAAGGAGCUCAUGUGAGUUGUUUCUCUGCUCUGAUAAUUUGAGAAAUAUUAUUUCAGGUUGAGUUAGAGGAGACAGACGAAAAACAAGGCCCUGAAUUUGAAGAAGCUCGAAACAUAAUAACAGAUGUUGAGAAGUUGUUUGAAUCUUCUGAAGUUUAAAGCUCUCCAUCUUGUCCAUUAGACUGUGCUACACUACUUUUAUAACUAGAGAUAUUUCUAGCAUGUACAAAGUUUGGAACACUGCCUCAGGAACAAUUUUAUGUGUACAAAUUGGUCCCUAAAAUUGUAGUUUGUUAAUAGGACAUAUACAUCUCGAUAGACACAAACACCUAGUAUAUGAAUAAUCCACAUAAAGUCAUUGUUGAUUCAAUUAAGCAAUAAUAGAGUUAUUAAUUCACAAACAAAAUGAUUUAGUUAAGUGAUACCAACGAUCAAAUUUUUAUAAGAAAAAAUAACCCCAUGCUCAACAAUUGAGAAAUUAUGACAACCUAAUGUGAGGUAGGUUAGGCAAAAACUAAAGUAAUGAAUUUUGAUAGAUUUGAACUUGAAAUUUUAAUAGUUGGACUAAGAUUUAAGUGUUGGACUUGAUAAAAUGAUAAAUAAAGACUUGAGUUUAUUAAAUCUUAACAAAAAAAAUAAUAUUUUUAUGAAUCAUAUAUAUAAAUAAUUAUAAAUUUAUGUAUACAAUUUCUCAGUUUGAUUUAGUUAUUUUUUUAGUAAAAUCAAAAUCAAAUAAUAUCAAUUUUCAUAAUUUAAAAUUAAACCUAAUCAAAUAUCAAAUUUAUAAUCAAUUUAAUUUGAAUUGCGAUUCAAUCUAACUUUUAAUUAUAACCAUGAAUAACUCUACUUUUUAUAUAUUAAAAUAUUAUAUUAAUCAAAACAAUACAAUAUAACAUAUAUUACAAUACAAUAUAACAUAUAUUACGAUACAAUAUGUAACAACCUUCCAAAUUAAACAGAAGAGUAAUAAGGGAUGUUUUUUUUAAAAAAAAUACAAGCUUUCUAUAGUAGGUUUUUCUUGUAAAGGCUACACACAUCUCGAGAAUCUGCUCACACACCGCCACCGCCCACCGGCAGUACACUAGCCCAGCGACCAUCGCCCUCCGGGUUCGUGCUCUCUCUUCUCUUGUACCCAGUUUUUUUUUUCUCUGGUUCGUUUGAUGUGGAGUUUGGUUAAAGUUCCCUGUAAAUGGGAGGGUGAUUCAAUUAUUUGAGUAGUACAAAUAGUUUCGUUAAAGUUCUGCCUGCAAUGUGUUUGACAAAUUGUCUGAGAGACGAUCCCAUGAAGUCUAAGUAACUGAUUUGGAGUAAGUUUUGGGUAGUCAGGUAGAUCGUGAACUGGUUAGUCCUAUGGCAUUGAAAAUUGUCUGCGUCUAAGUUAAGCAAUCCUUUGGGAUUGAACAAUAGCAUUAUUGCAACUAAAUUGUGUGUUUGAGUGGAAUUGAUAUGUGAAACGGUAGAGUUUUGAACUGCAGGAAAAUGUGAUUUUUGUUCAUUUGCUUGAGUUUUGUCUUUGUUAAAACGGAUCUUAUUUUAAUUAAGGGAUUACCACAAUUUUUCUUUAUGUUAUUUAUAGUAAUUUAAAUGCAACAAGGCUUGUGGUGAUUGUUAUGUUGCAAUGAGAGCUUUGCUUGUGUUUACAUGUCCUGGAGGUUUGAUUGGGAUAGGAAAGAGUUGCUGAAACGUAAGGUUUUAUGGAUGGAUCACUGUCUAUUCUGGGUUGAGGAAAUUAGUCUUGUGUCUUAUUGGAAUAUAAUCUGCAUAACGUUCAUGUUGAAAUUGUCUGGAAAAUCAUGGUUAGGUUUGUUAACUGAACAUUUUGAUGUUUGAAUGAAAAAAUGUUUGAUGUGAUAUCCUUAAAUACAUGAUUAUUGACUAAGUUUCUAGUCAAUUGAUAGUGUGAUUUGCUCAUGGCUUCCUCUUGCUGCAAUCAAGUUUUCAUUUCCUUUUUUUUUUAAAUAACCGUGGUGUCCGGGCCGGCUUGCGUGCACCUCGACUAAUUCCACGGGAUACCUGCUGCCUUCCUCUAGCAACAUGUACCAAGUCAAUCUAUCCACCUAGUCUAGGACAAAUGGGAAGGAAUCACCUAGUGAUUUUUGUCUCUGCUGGGAUUUGAACCUGCGACCUCAUGGUGCUCAACCUAAUUCAUUGACUACUAGGCCACACCCUUGAGUCAAUCAAGUUGUCAUUCUUGUGAAAUUAUCAUACAUGUUUCAUCGUCAUUGUCUCAAGUUGGUCCAACUUCUGCCUGUUAAUUGCCUCAGAUGCCUCUUGUCUCUAGGUCUUUGAUCAUUGAUUUCCUUCCUUUGGUCCUGUCCUGUGUUUGCCUCAGCUGGUUUCUCACCCUUGUUCGUUCAAACUUACUUAGUUUUCUUCGGCUCAACUCUGGGAGGAGCCUACUUGUUCUGGUUCUUUUUUGGUUUGAUUUAACUGGACAUUGUGGCCUUCAAUUUUAUCUUACUUAUUGUUCAAAUAUAGCACCAAUAGGAUCAAGUACCUUGACUAUCUCAGGUGGAGGAACCAUGACAUCCAUUUCAACUAGUACUCGUGCAACAUGCAUACGAGAUCCUCUCCAUUUUAGUUGUACAUUUAUCAGCAUAUAUUGGAGUACCCAAACCAGUUGCUAUUCUGCUUAACGAGUUCAUUCCCCAGCAAUUUUGGGGAGGGCUAGGGAGCUUAACCCAAAUUGGAAUCAUUUUCAACACUUCAUCAUUGAAGCUGAAAUCAGCACCCAUGGUUUAACAGUGACUGGUUUAUUAUUUAUCAUAUGGGCUCCUGAUUGCACAAUUUCAUCUCUAUCACAGAUGCUAUGAGAUUUGAGUCUGAAAUACCCAUCUUUGUGAUAAUAGAUUUGACUUAUAAGCAUAGGAACUUUGGUUACCAAUGAAUCUGGCUAUUGCAACAAUUGUUGGGGAGUCAUCCAGUGUUAUCAAAAGCUAAAAGCGCAAAAAUGCUCUAAGGUCCAUAUCUUUAGAUGGCCUUAUGUUUCCAUCAAAUAAGCUUACCCAUGGCUUAUUCAUAGCAGUUGCAUGUGUCAUGUCUAGCCUCCUUUGCGUUCCAGCUGCUUCUUUUAACUGUUUUAUUGGUACCCCUCCACACAACUGGAUCUGAGAUCUGGGCAAUCACACUCCUUGGAGCUGAUGAUUGUGUGUUCUCAUCCUCUCCUUUUCACUAAUUGUAUUCAAAGGGGUUAUAAUGCUCCACUCUGUGCACUCACCGCGAUGUUUUGCUGGGACAUAGCAGGCUCAGUUUCUGGGCUCUUUCCUUUGUUCCUGUGGCGGCUGCAAUUUCUUUCUUCUGUGGUAUCCUCUCUUUGCCUUAGCCAGCUUAACAUCCAAGAGUUGAAUCUUGUUUUCUGUUUUCCUCCAUUUGCCUCUAGCCAUUCCAGCAAUGGCAUACGGAGUUUCACUGUGUGCCAAGAAGUUUUGUUAACAUGCACUUUGAGGAAAGGGAACUUUUUUAUGUAAAAUUUUAUGAUAUAAAAGUAUAAGUGUUUGAUUUUAAAACAAAAUAAAAAUAUUUGCAAUAUAAUUCCAUUACAUAGAUGUUUAGUAUAGAAUUUACCAUAGCAGUUAAGACGAAUCAUAUAUUUAAAGGAACAAUGCAAUAUAAAUAUGUUAACAAGUCAAUCAUCCAACCAAAGAUCUCCUACUACUCUCCUAUAUAGUACUCCCUCUAUGUGACUUACUUUCCUUUUUAGUCAGUCCCAAAAAGAAUGACACAUUUCUAUAUUAAGUAACAAUUUAACUUUAAAAUGUCUAUUUUACCCCUAAUGAAAUGAUUUACAGCCACACAAACUUCUAUCAUUUAUUUUAGACCACAAGUUUUAAAAGUCUUGCUUUCAUUCUUAAACUUUGUGGCUAGUCAAACUACCUCACAUAAAAUGGGACAGAGGGAGUAAUGUUUUUGUGUUCCGAAAGCUCUUGCACAAACCCUUUUAAUAUGAUCUGUUAAACCUUCUUAAAAUUUCACACAUUAGUAUUUUUUUUGACAGAUUUCAUCGAGCAUUGACAAUGGCUACGGUCAGAAAUCUGAAAAUCUAGACAUCUACUUGCAAACGCAUACUGAAGGAUCUCCAUUCCUAUGAGAAAGAGGUUGAGAGAGAAGCUGCUAAGACUGUUGAUAUGAAGGAGAAAGGUGCCGAUCCCUAUGACCUCAAACAACAGGUUCCUUCUUUUUCUACUUUUUUAUUAAAAUUUAAUUUUGUUGUGUUAAGAUUUCACUUUUGAUUUGGUGCCUGAUCCAACAACUUUGCUCUUCACCCAAAGUUGGCCUUUCCCUUACUGUUUACUCCCCACUUUGGUGUAAUUAAUGGAGGACAUUGGGACAGUUUUAAGGAUAUUUACAUCCUAAUUUGGUAAAGGGCUUAUUCUGCUAUUGCAUUUCAUCACAAUAGUGGGUAAAUUGUUUUGAUUAGGCAGGUAGAGUUUAAAUUGAAUUACUCAAUCCUCCGUUUCCCAGUCUUGUAUGUUCCUUCUGAGGAUGAUGUUCCAGAAACUCCCUUCUCUGUAUUGCUGAAUAGUAGAGUUUGGCUCCCUUGCUAUCUGGAACAUGUUAGGAUAAGCAACCAUUAAAGAGGAGUUGCCUAUCCAUUUUCUGGAAUAAGGGGAUGCAGCCCAAUUAGCAUAACAGUAUGCUGAUAUUUUUGUUAGAGGUUUUGCUAGACAGCAAAACCUCUUGUCCUGGUUGUUUUUUGAAGUAUCUAACAACUCUGAGGGUUGCUUCCAUGUGUGACUUCUUAGGUGCUUGUAGAAAUUGGCUUAGAGUUCUACAGUAUAGGAGAUGUCAGGUGUUGUCAUAGUAAUAUAUAGAAGCUUACCUAUUAAUCUUUGAUAGGUAGUUUGUUCAGCAAGAGUUCCUUCUUUUCUAUUUUCUUCUUGGUUAAGAUGAUCGUCAUACUCCUUAGUGGUGAGCUUAACACUUGUAUCCGUAGGUGUCAUGGUAGGUUUAACCCCUAGUACAGUUUCAGAGAUAAGUUCUAAUGCAUAUUUCCUUUGAUGCAUUAGAAUCCCUUCUUUAGAUCUAGCAAACUCUAUUCCAAGGAGGUAUUUAAGCUCACCUAAAUCUUUCAUCCUGAAUGCCUUUUGCAGUGUAAGUUUUGUGUCUUCAAUCAACAUUAAACUAUCACCUGUUAUAAGCAUAUCAUCAACAUAAACUAAUACUAGAGUGGUACCUUCUGUAAUUUUCUUCAUGAACAAUGAAUGGUCAUGUUGACUUUGCUGAAAUUUGAACCUUGGAAGUGCCUCAGUGAGCUUGACAUUCCAUUGUCUUGGAGCUUGUUUCAAUCCAUACAAGGAUUUUAUUAGUCUGCAUGCUAUCUUAUCUUAGAUUCCCUCUGACUUAUAAAACCUCGAGGAAGUUCCAUGUAUAUUUCAUCAAGAAGGUCACCUUUAAGAAUGCAUUGUAUACCACUGUUAUCAAAGGCGAAAAGUGCAAAAAAAGCUCUAAGGUCCGUGUGGGCGGUAAGCGCAAAGUGUAAAUAAAGCGUGGGUUUUAAUGAAAAAAGGCGCAAAGGGAGAAAAAAAUACAAAUGUAUAUGUUUAGUCCAACACUAAUAAUUAUAAACAUGAAUGGCAAAUAUAUGACCCAAGAAAUUGACAAAAAUUUAUAAUAAAGUGAAAUAUCAAUUGUUUAGUUUCACUUCUUCAUAAGAGGCUCGUUGGCAAGGAAAAGUUUGUCUUAGAAUCUUGAUGACGACGCUGAAGUGCACAUAAAGCGAGGCAAAGCGCUCAACAUGUUUUGAGCCUCGCUUCAGGGCUUAAGCGCGCCUUUGAUAACAUUGUUGUAUACACACAUUUGAUGUAUAUGCCAAUGCUUGACUGCAGCAAUAGCUAGAACAGACCUGACAAUUUUCAUUUUCACUACUGAUGAAAAUGUUUCAUGGUAGUCAAUCCCUUCCUUUUGACUAUAGCCUUUGGCAACCAACCUUGCCUUAUACCUUUCAACCUCUCCAGAUGCCUUGUAGUUAACAUUGUAUAUCCAUUUACAACCUAUAGAUCUCUUCCCUUUAGGUAGAGGAACUAUAUCCCAAAUAAUGAUUACUCUAUAAUGCCUCAAUUUCUAGUUUCAUUGCAUCCACCCAUCUUGGAUCUUUAACAGCCUCACUAUAACUUGUAGGUUCUAUUAUGGAAGAAGAUUUGGCUAUGAAACUUGAUAUCUAGGAGAUAGAUGAUCAUAGGUAAUAUAGUUGGGACAUAGGAUAGGGAGCCUCCUUAUGUACAGUCAUGGACACAAAGUCGUUUAACCAUAUCGGUGGGUUCCUUUCUCUACCUGACUUUCUAGUUUCAGAUUGAGAGUUUCCUAUGGACAGAGGUUGAGCAGUGACCACUGGCUCCACUCCUGACUCAGGUACAACCUGUGAUUCUGAAGACUGUCUUAGUACAAUCUGAGUGUAUGUACAUAGGCCAGAGGAUUCCACGUUUUGCCUUCGAGAGUUAUAGCAGGAUAUGAUUGUAAGGAUCUGAUGGAGGGAACAAGAUGUGAGAUCUAGGAAAUGACUUUUGAAGGGAAAGGUGUCUUCCCUAAAUAUGACAUCCCUGCUGACAAACAGAUUUUUGGUGUCUAUAUCAUAUAGAAGAUAUCCUUUCUGAGUUGCAGAAUAUCCCAUAUGGAUUGCCAUUCUAGAUCUAGAAUGUAACUUGUCAGUCUCUUUGAGAAUUUUUGCGUAACACAAGCAUCCGAGAACCUUUAGAUGAGUCAGAUAAGGUCUUUUAUUGUAUAAAACUUCAUAUGAAGACUUGUUUUGCAGGACUGAACUAGGAAGUCUAUUGAUUAAAUAAACAGCGGCUAGCACACAUAGUUCCCAGAACUUGAUAGGUAUUUGAGCCUGAAACUUAAUGGCUCUAGUCAUUUCAAGCAAGUGCCUAUGCUUUCCUCUCAGCCACCCCAUUCUUCUGAGGGGUACAUGCACAACUUGUUUGAUGAAUUAUGCCAAGUUUGUUGAACAUGUUACCACAUACUAAGUUAACAACCUCAGUUCCAUUGUAUGGCCUUACUAUUUUAACCAACUUAUCAAACUGAGUUUGUACUUGAGUUAGAAACUGUUGAAUCACUACACACAUCAGGCUUUCAGCAAAAAUAUCCAUGUCAUUCUAGUAAAAUCAUCCACCAAAGUUAAGAAGUAUCUAUGACCAUCAAAAGUAGUAACCCUGUAAGUACCCCACAUUAUAGAUUAGGACCCCACAUUCUCCUGUGUGGUUUGCGAGCUAUUGCACAGGAAUGGAGGUUUUACCCUAUGCGCACCCAAAAGUUAGCGGCUGCGGGUCUCCCUUGUCAUAAAAAAAAGAUUAGGACUACUACAUGUUCUCUAGGUUGUGUCCAUCUUCAGAUCAAAAUAAUAUUCUUUCACCCAAAUUAGAUGACCUGCCUAUUAUUCUUGAAUUUGACCGAACCUUUUCCUCAAUCCGAACUUGGUAAGCUGAGCUACAUCGUCUAUUUCUGGAAAGGGGAAAUAAUGAGUAAAAAAAUGAAGAUUCAUCUGCUUCUUAUACUGAGUUACUAUCUAUAAAAAAAUGAAAGAGUAUAUUCAAGAAUAAUUGGAAUGUAAUAGUUUAUGCUGUCGCAAUAUCUUAUCCAAAAAAAAAACAGAAAAAUUUUAUUGUGUGCAAUGUAUUUAAUUCUUGGACACUACUGUAUAUUAAUUGUUAUAAAUGGAUGGCACAUUAUGUUAACCAAUUAACUGUAUAGAAUUUGCAAAGUUUUCUUUUAAUGGUCUUCUAUUGAUGUUAAUAAGAAGAACGAAAGCAACAUUGAUCAUAAUGCGUUUUGUCAAGUUUGCUGCAUUAUAGCUUGGAUGUUUUCCACUGUGUAGCUGAUGUACAAUUAGUUUGUCUUGAGCACCUGAAAGCUUCACUAUUAAAAUACAGUUUGUGCAUUCAUGUGGGAACUUUUGACUUAAAUAAUAUGUAAUAUCUCAAAGGAGGACAAUGGAUAUUAGUGCUUUUGUGCCUCAAAUCUCUCUUCUUUUUCUUUUUUUUUGGCUUAUGAUAUUUGAACUUACAUGUUUUUUUAUUUGCAUUUGUUUCAGUUGAUUGUCCUAGGCUUGAAGAUGGAAAGCAGUAUAAAGGAUGAACUCUACUCUGACAUUUUCGAUAUGUCAAAUCUUCAAUCAAGUCUUAGGCUGACUACCAAUUCCGGAAACAAUGAUUCACAUGGUAUGAACUUCAGCUGAUUGCUUCAAGCUGAUAAUGAAAAUUAGAAAUGCAUUUUGCUAUUAACAUUUGAAUAUCAAAUUGCUUACCAUAAAUAAAAGGUAUGAUGUGGUGCUCUUAUUCCUAGAUUGCAUAUUUGUUGGAAUAACUAUCAAAGUGGAAGACUGACGGUCUUCAUUUACAUCUUAAGAAGUUUUAUUCUAAAAGGUCUUCUUCACUGGCUACUCUCAGCAGAUCUGGAUUGAUUAACCGUUGUUCUUUCUCCUCUCCUUCGCCUUCCUUUGUUUGUCAAAGAUUAUUCAAAACUUAAAGAACUAUAUUAUCUCUCCUAUCCUUCCCUACUUUCUCGUUUCAAACAUUAUUAAACCUCUGAUCGUGAUUGUGAGUAAAUAUGUUGGUUAAAUGCUGCUAAGUGGAGAUGUUCUCUUAUCUAUGUAUAGUUUUGUUGGUUAGGAUCUCUCCUGUACAUAGUUUUGUUAGUAGUGCUGACUGCAAUUAAUAUCUAAUGCCAGAGAGCGAGUGGUGCGACGUGUGGAGUGAUGAUGGAGAUUUGUGCCAUGAUUCUACUGAUAAACUGGAUAAAACAUCUGAAAUGGACAGGGAAUGGCAGAGGCGGCAUGACCAAUUCCACACUGUAUCCUUACAAGUUUAAUCUGAUUGAUAGCAUCCAGAAAACAAAAUUAGAUAUGUCCCUUUUGGUUGCAAAUUCAAUUUGUAUUUGGAAUUCCUGAUGAAUUAUUAGGUCGGAUACCGUGAUGGUCUUAUGGCAGGGAAAGAAGCUUCAGUUCAAGAGGGAUUUAAUGUUGGUUUUACAGACUCUGUGUAUGUUGGUUACAACUGGGGUCUUGUCAGAGGUAUCACUAGGUAAGUAUACGCAUUUCAUACAUGGAACCUGUAGAGAGUUGAGUUUGUGUACUAACUAGAAAUUUUCUUCGCCAUUUCGGAUUUAAAUUUGAUGUUCUCUCCUUUUCUUUCCCUCUUUGAAGCGCUUUGGCCUCUCUUCCCAAUGGCUUAGUAGAAAGAAUGGUUGAUACAAAGGAAAUCCAGAAUAAGUUCCAGCACUUACAUGAGUCUGUGCAAUCUCGUUCAACAGUGGAAAUGCUAAAGGUGUUCCGUGAUUAUCUGACAAAGAAAGCGGAAGAGAGUGCUAAAAAUGACAACUCUAGCUCCUGCUUGGCUGAUUCCAGCGACCUCAGUUCCAAUGACAGUCUUCUUGAGAAUUACCAGAAAGAGCUUCAAUUACUUAUUGAUGAAUCAGGGCUCAAAUUGCACUUAGAUACAAAGAAGUAGCUUUUUCUUUUCCUGCUUAGCUCAUUGAAGUCACUUCUAGUUUUCAUCACAAUCCAUGAAAAUUGCAUUCAAAAAGAGAAAAAAAACAGUACACUUGAAUGCAUAGUUUGUACAUAGUAUAUUUCUAUUUUCCAACAUUUUAUGCGUGGUUUAGUUAAACAUGUAUUGUACUCUGAUGAGAAAUUACUUUUUCCGCCUUCUACUGUCUUUUUCCUUUCUUUUAUCCCAAGUUUUUGGCUAUUAUUAGUAGGAAUGAGGUCUAAAUUUGUAUUUUACGCUGUUGCUUGCCUUUUCAGGUGAUAGUUUGGUUGAUUUCCAUUUUUAUGUGGUUAAGAGUGGCAAACUCCAAAGGUUUCAUUUUCUCAGUUGUUUGUUUUUGUUAAUUCCAGUUUGUUUGGAAUCAUAAGUUGAAGUGUUUGGUGAAAGUCCUUUUUUUUGGGUUUCCCAUUUGGUAUCCAGAGCCCAUAUUGAACCCCCUACUAAUUAAUUUGGAUCGCACACUGUAGGGCGCCAACCCGAGACCUCUGGUUAAGGGUGAAACAGUCCGACCACUACACCACAACUCAUGUUGGUGAUAGUCCUUAACAAACUUUGGCCUGAUUGAUUAGAGAAAUCAAAUGGGUUUCUGGACUAUUCAAACAGUUUUUUUUUCGUCUAAAAUUUGAAUGGGUUGACUCUGAAAAUUGGCUAUAGAAGUUGGGUUUCGAAAUUAUUUUGCAGCUCUAUUUGCUUUUUUACGUUUUUUGUAAACUGCUGAUCUUUUGUAUUUGCAUCAGCAUGCUCAUGCUGUAUUAGAAUCUAAGUUUAAACAACAAAGCUUUAGAAAAAACUUUACCAAGACGUGAAUGGGGUUAUUAGAUAAGUGUAAUAACUCUAUUAUGGGAUAUUCUUUGACCUUUUCAACUUAGAAACCAAGUGUUGAAAUGUAGUCUCUUUGAAAGAAUGCCUGUUAACAUCUCUACUGAGAUAACUACAACAUCAAGGCAUUUGGAAUGUUGCUGGAAAAUCAAUUUGACGCAAUCAAAUUCAUCCAGAUCAUGUGGUUUGUACAAAUCUGUCUUCACUGACCAUGGUUGUUCUUUAUCUCUUUAUUUGUUCAUUAUAGUAGUUUCUUUGGUAAAGAAAGUAACUAUUCGUUAUGUCCAUGGAGAUGUGCAUAUAGCUGUUUUGUAUCUUUGUCAAACAGUGGCAGCAAAAUAAUGGAACUCAAAAGCACUAAAUCACCAAGUGGAUUUUCAUUGUCAUUUGAUCAACUACUAGCUGCUCCAACCAACUUCAAAGAAGAAAAACAAAACUUUACAGCCCACAUCAACAAAAAAGGCGCUUUGGGUCAGCUACCUGGGUUCUGCUGCAGUUUCUGUUUAUUGGUUAGUGUUUUUCAUUCUUUGCUUUGAUCAAUGUGGUUCAAAUCAAGCUUGCGACUUUGGGAUGUGAGAGCAAGCAUACAUAUGGAGUAGUUAUACCAUUUGUCAUUUUUCCUUUUUUUUGUCCUUGUAUGACUUAUCGAUCUUUAGGAUUUGGCGGAUGAAUAAUGAUCAGUUGGAUACAUGAGAGAGUAGUAUCUCCAACUUGAGAGAAUAGUAUCUGAAAUUAAGUGAUCUUUAGGAGAAAAAGGUAAAAGUUUUGUGAUAGUAAAUAACUUUAGCUAAGAUGCAGUUGUUUUGUCCAUAUACAUGGAGCAGUUAGUGUUUGAAUUGUUCCUACUCUUCGAUGAACUCUACAAUCUCUUCUAACCAAUAUUCGGGCUGUUAAAUUCAAUUUGCUCAGUAGUGAUUACUGGUUAAAUGCAUGUCAAAAACAUUUUAUUGGCAUAUUUCAGAUAGUAGCAGAGAUGAUAGUUGAAGAUAAUGGUACCAUAGCAUGUCAGGAUACAUAUAAGAAACAUUAGCCAACUGUAGAUAAAGCCAUAGAUUGAAGUACAUAAAACCUUUCACAGCAGUACUAAAGUACGUGUAGGCAUAAUCCUCAGGAAACAAGCACACUAGAAAGCUCUAUUAUAAAUUACUUGAGAUUCCAUGAUGAUGUUCUCCACCAUCUAAUCCCAAUCAAUUCCUUUAAUGCCGUUAAGCUGAAAUCCUUGCACAUGUUGGAGGGUUGUGAAUUGUGAGCAACAAGCCAGUUGUUCCUGGACGAAAGAUUGUCUUACUAGCUCCGCGCUGAUGUCCACCUGUGCCACAAUGAAAGCCUGUGCUUAUUGUAACUCAUCUAUGAAAACAAUUCUGUGUAUUUCAAGAUUUCAUCUAGCAUUCUGGUUAUAGUAGUUUGAUUAUGACAUAUAAGGCAGAAUUGUAUUAGAUGGUAUGAGUUUUGUACUGACCUGGAACUGGCAUCAGUUGCAAGCUUGAAUUGGUCUAGGAUGUGUGAAUCCUGAUGCACUGCGCCUGAGGUGAGGCUCCCAUUUAGAUGUUGGCAAUACUGUUUCAAAAGCCUCCACGAGCAAUGCAACCUUUCUCUUACGAGCUGGUGCAAGUUUGUCCACUGCUCGUCGGAGUGCAAAAUCAAGCAUCCAGUCCUCUGCAUUUUUCCUGUCAUCCAUCAUCUGAUGCUUGAGAUCAACUUUCUCUGCAUCUGGAUCUGGCUCCAGUGGCAGGAAAUUUGGUGGUCGUGGAUUGAAGUCUCUUGACUCCUCUGGCUCCUUAGUGUCAUUGCGCCUGGCUAUGCCUCUCAGGUUUAUGUACCUCUCAGACAUUUCUUCACUCGAAUCAUAUUUUGCAUGUGUCUUCUUAUCUUUGAUUUGGUUCUGCUUUUCCACACAUGCCUCAGCUGUUUGAUCCACUUCGACACCAGGUGCAUUUUCACUUCCAUCUUCAACUUGAUGGCUUGUACAGUCUUCAGAGGCGUUUUCACUUCCAUCUUCAGCUUGAUGGCUCACAUCGCUCUCGUCCUUGAGAUCUGCCUCUACUACCAACUGUUGAGCAUUAUUGCCAUGACCAUUUUCAUCUCCUUGUUCACAGCAAUCUGUUUUUAUUUCUGUAUCUUCCAUCUUGACAACAAUGUUUUCAUCCGAACGUUCUUCAUUAUCCUUACAGGUUUCAUCUUGCACUGCAUUGAGAUAGCAAACAUUGAGCUCUUGAUAGCCUUUAAGUGCAGCUGCAUCAUCAUCUUGAGGAGUUACGCAUUCUUCGUGAGAAGUUGCAGUUUCAUCUCUAGACAGAAGGUUUCUUCUGCCUUAACAGCAGCCUGAUAAUCCAUUGUUGCUGUCUCACUAUCUGUACCAUCCAGAAUCAAAUUGACAUCUAGAGAGAUAAGUGUAGUGUCCUCAGACACUUCAACACACUCAUCAAUGUCAAAUUCUGUAUGCGAACAGAUAGAUUCGGAGUCAUCAUAAUCAUAACUUGUUCCAGAGAUGAUAAUUUCUUUAUCAAAUGACUCUUCCAGAGUGUUGUCAGAUAGAAGUUCAGGAUUAGAUGAUUUUUCCGUGAACUCCUCGCUGACAACUGGAUCAUCAACCAAUGUGAUGGGAUCUGUAUUAUCUGAGAUUGAACCAAUUUCGUCUUCGCUAUAUGCAUAGUACUUCUCUACAUCCCAGUCCAUAUCAGAAGCUUCAUAUUCCAGCUCUUCUGCUGUUGCUUCUAUCUCUAUUUUAGUGUGCAUACUCAAGGAUUCAAUAUCCACUUCCUCUUGAACCAUGUCACUAGCACCUUCGUUUGGAUUCUCUGCAGGACAAAAGCCAGGCGUGUUGAUUUCUGCUGAAAUAGCUUCUCUCUUUUGAUCAAGAUUGUCCUCGGUAUCAUCUGCUGCCACUUCACUGCUUUCACCCGAAGGUACAAGAUCAGUGACAGAAGAAUCAAUGAUGUAAUAAUCAUCUACCGAGUUGGUCUCUUCCUUUUCGUUGCUAUAAAUUUCGACAAAAAACUCCUUGUCAUCUUCAUUUGUCAGAGGAUCUACCUUCUCUGUAGUACUCUCUAUUUGUUUUGGCACAUUAUCAUUCAAGCCUAAUCCACGAGGAUUAGCUCGACGAGGAGAGACACAUCCCAACUUGAAACUCCUCUGAUUCUUCAACAUACGCCUUCUUGCUGACAAGAAACACUUCAAUGGAGGCAAAGGAGGGUGAUGAUGACCAUUAAGAGAGCAAUAUGUAUAUGGACAAACCUUGAAAACAGAAGUUCCAUCUGAUUCUGUUCCUCCAGGACUAAGUUCAAGAUAUGAAGGAAACUUAACUUCUUUCAAAGUUGAUGAACAUGUAGCCCUUUCUACUUGGAAAUCAUCAUACCUAACAAUAGGGGAACAUGAUGAAACUCUUGUUGGUUUAAAACUAGGAGUUCUAGCUAACAAACUCCUUAUUGGUUUAUUAACAGAACUACCCGAGCCUAACUUUGAGUUACUUGAAUUCUUUCUACUACAACUUUGUGAAUAAGUUUGAAGGCUCCUUGAACUUACCUGAGAUUGCUCUUUCCUUGCAACAGAACUGCUUGUGGACUUCAUAUAAUUUGGAGUACAUAUUGAUUGCUGUUGUUGCUGAUUCUGAUUCUGAUUCUGACGCUGACGCUUCGUUGGUGUUGAUGAGUUAGUACUAGGGGGUGGUUUGCCUGGCUGAGGUACAUAUUUUCUGAAAUUUGGUGAGUGGGAUAUUUCAUAUUCUAAGUGUUUGGUUUUGCCUGAUUUCUUCAUCAUCUUUUUCUUGAGUUCAGCUUUUCUAUUCUUGAUGGUGUCAUGGUUUUGUGAUAUAGGCAAAGAUGGUUUGUGGUUCAUUAUUUGGUUGUUGGCUUUUAUAAUAUGAUCAGUUUUGAUACCAAGCUUGUUGAGGACUUUUUUUUGCACCAUCUUAAUUUGGUUUUGGGAAAAGAAAGAUAUAUUCUUUUCAAGGAUUUAUGGAUUUGAGGUAGUGUUUCUUCAUAUUAGAGAUAAGAGAGUUUUAGUUCAUGAAGAAAGGAAGUUUUUGAAAUCUCAACUACCAGAGAUUCCAAAUGGUUUAUUUGCCUUUGGUUUGUAAGCAGCGUUCUUCUUCUUUUUUAUGUUCUUGUCUUGCU